rnacentral:rRNA from 1 species
AGAGAGAGACAUGCGCGCAUAUCAAUAAGCGGAGGAAAAGAAACUAACAAGGAUUCCCUUAGUAACGGCGAGUGAAGCGGGAAGAGCUCAAAUUUGAAAUCUUCAAGGUUCUACCUUGACGAAUUGUAGUUUAUAGAAGUGUUUUCUGUUAGUGGAGUGGCAAAAGUUCUUUGGAAUAGGACAUCAUAGAGGGUGAGAAUCCCGUAUUUGGUCAUUCCUCCUAGCGUUGUGAUACACUUUCAACGAGUCGGAUUGCUUGGGAAUGCAGUCCAAAAUGGGUGGUAAAUUUCAUCUAAAGCUAAAUAUUGGCGAGAGACCGAUAGCGAACAAGUACCGUGAGGGAAAGAUGAAAAGAACUUUGAAAAGAGAGUUAAACAGUACGUGAAAUUGUCAAAAGGGGAAGCGUUUGACACCAGUGUUGUUUAGUUGAAAAUCAAUUCAAAUAGGUUUUGAUUCUAGUAGUAUUGACUUCAUCAGCUUUCUGCACUUUCUUCUCAGUAAUUAUUUAAUGCACUUUUCAGUUUAACAAGUCAACAUCAAUUUCUUUUGUUGUAAAAGGGUAUAGGAAGGUGGCUUACUCUUCGGCGUAAGUGUUUAUAGCCUUUAACCUCUGCAAUCGGAGAGAUUGAGGUCUGCAGCGUAGACUCUUCGGGGUUAGAUACACUUGUGCUAAGCUAUAGCCUUGUAUAGACAACUUGUUGACUAUGCUCAGUCAUGUAGCUUACUCGCUUGUGCUAUUUUACCUACGCUUAGGAUGUUGAUCUGUAGUGCGUGCGC